AGCAGCCGCGGUAAUUCCAGCUCCAAUAGCGUAUAUUAAAGUUGUUGCAGUUAAAAAGCUCGUAGUUGAAUUUCGGGAUCAAUACGUCGGUCGUGCUUCGGUACGUACUGGCGUCAUUGAUUUCUCCCUUCUGACGAACCACGAUGUCAUUAACUUGGUGUCAUGGGAAAUCAGGACUGUUACUUUGAAAAAAUUAGAGUGUUUAAAGCAGGCUCACGCUUGAAUACAUUAGCAUGGAAUAAUGAAAUAGGACGUUCGAUCCUAUUUUGUUGGUUUUAGGAUCAACGUAAUGAUUAAUAGGGAUAGUUGGGGGCAUUAGUAUUCAAUUGUCAGAGGUGAAAUUCUUGGAUUUAUUGAAGACUAACUACUGCGAAAGCAUUUGCCAAGGAUGUUUUCAUUAAUCAAGAACGAAAGUUAGGGGAUCGAAGACGAUCAGAUACCGUCGUAGUCUUAACCAUAAACUAUGCCGACUAGGGAUCGGAUGAUGUUAAUUUUUUAAUGACUCAUUCGGCGCCUUACG
rnacentral:rRNA from 1 species